rnacentral:sRNA from 1 species
GAGGGAAUUGUCCUCUGUGCAAGGGACUUUCUUUUGGCCCUAGGCCCCUUCCUGCCCCUGUCGUCAGCAGAGAGAUGGAAAACUUGAUGACUAGCUCCACCCUACCGCCCCUUUUUGCAGAUGAAGAUGGUUCCAAGGAGAGUAAUGAUCUGGCUACCACUGGGUUAAAUCACCCAGAGGUUCCAUACAGUAGUAGCGCCACAUCAUCCACCAACAAUCCAGAAUUUGUGGAGGAUCUCUCCCAAGGUCAGUUGCUUCAGAGUGAGUCUUCAAAUGCAGCAGAAGGCAAUGAACAGAGGCAUGAAGAUGAGGUAAGCUGAAGUAUCUCCUUCUGUUCCUAUCCUCUGAAACUUCUGAAGAAGCAGUCACAAGGAAGGUAUGUUGAUCAAGGUGUUCAUAUGACCUUCUUAUAUUCCUAGGCUGAUACCUGCAAAAUUUUGUUUUCUAUUUCUUGUUUUAUACGGAACCAUAUUAAUAAUUUUAAUGACAUAGACAGGUAGACUCUUUUUUCCCUGUUCCCUAAGAAAUGUAUACUUACCUCAUAUUAGAUGUUGAACAAAUACUUGUUGAAUGAGUGAAUGAUUUAAUCAUUAAUAAGUAACUAAUGAGAAGUGUACAUGCCCUUGCUCAAGGCUCUGCUCAGCAAGCCCUGCUGCAUGGAGCCCUAUGUGCCCAAAGGAUUCAUACUACUUACCAAAUCUUUCACCCUCCCAUAGGGGGUAACUUUCCUUAACUCACACAAAGGCG